GCCUUAUCUCUAAGGCAGGAAUUCUUUUUAGAAUCUAAUUUAAUUUUAAAUUUAUUUUUAACAUUCUUUUUUUUUUUGAGUUCCAAAUCCUCUUCCUCCCUCUAUUCCCUCCUUCACCUAUUUGAGAAGGCAAGCAAUAUGAUCCCCAUUAUAUAUUUGAAGUCAUGCAAAACAUUUCUAUAUCAGUAGGGCAGGAGUUAUUAAACCUUCUUUGUGUCGUGGACCCAUUUGGCAAUCUGAUGAAGCUAAUACUACUGAGGUCACAGACACCUAAAAUCUAGUGGAUCCCACGUUAAAUAUCCCUGCUCUGAGGCAAAGGAAAAUGGGACUUGGCCAGAUGAAAAGACCAGGAGGUAAGUCCUCCUGGUUGGUGUCUGAUCUGUCUCAUAGGCGUCUGAUGUGGCACUGCAGUUUAUGUUAGCACGGGCCCAUAGGCAGCUGCUUCAGGAACAUCACCGAUCCCAGAUCCAAGCGGAGCUGAGCUGCUUGUGAAAGGACAAGGAAACAGCAGCAGACCAGGCCCCAGACCUAUCUGCUGAGAGCCCAAGGUGGUGGCAGGAUCACGCAGCACUGGUCUUACAAAUGGAGGCACUGAGAGUGGAACGAGAUGCAGCUGAACGGGACUUAGAGGCCCUGUAUGAGUUACACGUGCAAGGAGCCCGGGCCCAGACCUACCACAUGGUGCAGGUGUUCCGGGCUUGCCGGAGGCUGUGGAAGGAGCAGGCUGCUGCCAGGGAGUUCCAUCACCGAGUCCUGUUGGCUGGAGUCUUACAGGAUGUUGUCUCACUGGCCACGCAGAACCAACAACUCCAACUCCAGAACAAGCAACUUCGGCAGGGUGAGGAUUAUGUAGUGUAAUGGAAGAGUGUAGGGAGGAAGUGGGAUUCCAACUGUUCUUCUGAUCUCAAUCCACGAGUCUGUCUUGUACUACAGGGGAAUACUAUCAGGGGAAAUGAGAUUGGGGUACCAGCCUCGAUCCUCCAACAGGGCAUCAUUGAUUGUGUCCCCUAUCUCCCAACAGAAAGCACAGAGAGGAGAAAAAAAGUUUAAGCUCUGGCCAUCAGCCCUGACACCUUUUCCUUAAAGUAAAGGUAUUCAGAACAGACCCCAGAGUCAUACCUGUUCUGCAGGAGUCAAAUAAAAAUAUUUACUGAUCCUGAC
rnacentral:lncRNA from 1 species